UACAGAGGGUGCGAGCGUUAAUCGGAAUUACUGGGCGUAAAGCGCGCGUAGGCGGCUUUGCAAGUCGGGUGUGAAAUCCCCAGGCUUAACCUGGGAACUGCAUUCGAGACUGCAUUGCUAGAGUAUGGGAGAGGGAAGUGGAAUUUCCGGUGUAGCGGUGAAAUGCGUAGAUAUCGGGAGGAACACCAGUGGCGAAGGCGGCUACCUGGCCCACUCUUGACGCUGAUGCGCGAAAGCCAGGGGAGCGAACGGG
rnacentral:rRNA from 1 species